CCAGCUCCAAUAGCGUAUAUUAAAGUUGUUGCAGUUAAAAAGCUCGUAGUUGGAUUUGUGGCGGUCGCAUGCGGCCCGGCAUUCGUGUCGGUGUUUGCUCGCGUCGCCAUCCUUGGGUGGAACCUGUGUGGCAUUAGGUUGUCGUGCAGGGGAUGCCCAUCAUUUACUGUGAAAAAAUUAGAGUGUUCAAAGCAGGCUUAUGCCGUUGAAUAUAUUAGCAUGGAAUAAUAAGAUAGGACCUUGGUACUAUUUUGUUGGUUUGCGCACCAAGGUAAUGAUUAAUAGGGACAGUUGGGGGUAUUCGUAUUCCAUUGUCAGAGGUGAAAUUCUUGGAUUUCUGGAAGACGAACUACUGCGAAAGCAUUUACCAAGGAUGUUUUCA
rnacentral:rRNA from 1 species